UGGGGAAGGAAAUUCAUUUAAAGAAGAAAAAAAUAAGAGGCCCCGGCAUUGGGGCAGUGCAGUACAGACCAAGAGGGUGGGAAGACCGUUAGGACGGAAGAAGAGGAGGCCAACAGAGCAAAUGUAUGGUGAGGACAUAAACCCAUCCUCCCUGGGAGCCGGAUGCUUUGACAGUCUACCCUUUCCUUCUGAUAGCACAACCCGUGCCCUGUGAGGGGCAGGCAGCAGUGGUCGGGCUCAUUCUUGUACUUGACUGCUGUCUGUUUAUCCAGAAGGCUGUGGGCUCCUUGAAGGUAAAGCUCCUGCGGUGAAUCUAGUGUCUGGACAGCAUCAUGCGCGCAGUGAGCAAGCAACCCUGAUGGCUUCGUGUGAGACAACAGAGCACAGAGGUUACUCAUGGUCAGGACGUGCUCACCCAAAGAAACUGCAGCUCACACCUCAGAGUUACAACAAAGGGAGUUGACGAUUCCCUGAAGAAGGAACAAGAUCCAGGGUCUCCCAGGGAUGGCGUAAUCGGCUGCUUAGGACACGCAGCGUAUGUACACGAGUACUCUCAUCCCAGAGCUGAGUGCUAUGGUUACAUCUGCCCCCGACAUUCUCUACAACAAGCGCGAUUUUAGAGACGUGGACAGCAAGACUCAAGAGGACAAAGAACAGUCUGCAUCGAUCCCCACUGUGCGCACAGCACAAUGCCUGCUCCUAUAGAUAGAAUCUUCACGCCUGAUUUUCCAGGAGCCUGUCUCAUGCCCAAGAGAUACAUCCAAGCCAGCCUCAGAACCUUUGCUUCCAAACCACCACCUCCAAAGCGCAGCCCGGAGGCCAAUGGACUCCUGUGGACUUCUGCAGCCUCUGGGCUUGAAUUCAGCUCACGGCAGUGUUUUCUUCCAAGUGGUGUUUUGCUUUGAUUUUUAAACUUGAAUUAGAUGCCAAUAUUAAAAAUCAGAAUAGUGAAUCUAAAAAUCCAGAACUCCAAGUUCUCUGGAAAGAUGGAUUGCUCUAGCAAUUUUGGCCUGCGUUUCUGUUGUAUGCCUCCUACCCUAUGCAACAAAA